rnacentral:lncRNA from 1 species
GUGAAUGACAGAUUGAAGAGUUGCCAUGUGGAUCUACAGUUCACAAUGUGAGAAGCAUUAAACAUUCAAUUCUGUGGCUGGAAUCCUCAAAUCUUCCACUUCAUUGUCUCUGGAGCAUAACCAGAGUCCUAAACAGCCAGAGAGAACUCAUUAGGGAUUGGACUACCACGACAGCCUUCUUUAUAGCUGAACCAUAAGAAGUGGAGAGAAAAGACUCCUUUUUUCCAUUGCGAAGAGAGACGCCAAGAUCAUUUUUUAAUCAGCGAAGGCCUUCCGUAGCACUCAUUCUUGCAGGUAAGUGAGUCUUUGUCACAGGUGACUUGGAAAGCAAACCUUAUAUAGUCUGCA